CUCUAUUGUGAACCUCAAUGUCAUAAUGUCUAACAAGAACUCUUUGAACAUAUUUUAGGUACAAUGCUGAGAGCCAGCCAUGGGUGUGUACCUCCCUCACUGCUCACAACACACAGAAUGUUGCUCCUGUCAUCACUGCCAUUGGCUGCUCCAAACAUGCAGGAGAAGAAUCUUUAUGUGGAUACUUCAGGCAAGAGAUCUGGAAGUGACCCUGCAUGUCUCAGGUAAUACAUGUUUAUGUCUUCCUAGCCACUGGAUUGUGAAUUAAAUGAAUUCCUUGCCUUUGAAAGAAGUCUAUAGCUAAGAAAGAAACAGUACAAAUAUACUGGUCAACUCAGGAGUCUGAUCAGAGCUUGUGCUUAUAGGAAGGUGGGUAAUACAAACUCAUCUUUCUGAGCCACAUCUAAGAAAACCCUUUGAGAGGAAAAGCAUCAUUACAUCUGUCUUUCAAGCUUAUAGAGGAUGCAUUAUGAUACCCCAUGAUCUCUUUCCCUCUUGCUUUUCGAGAAUAAAAAAAUGUCUUCCCAAAUACUUAAACCUAAAUGCUAAAUCUUGAAGACAGGGAUUAUUAGAGCAGCCUGUGGUCAGUCUUCCAGGACAUAAUCUAAUUAGAUGAAAAGGGCACCUUAGAUUUCAUGCCCACUAAAUAUUCCAGAAACACGGUAAGUAGUCUAAAGAGAGAAUGUGACCCCAUGAUAUGGGCAGAGUGAAAGAUUAGCACACCUGUGACUAUACUAGGGUGCAAUCAGGUUUGGACUUUUGCCUCUGUAAUCGCUUCUUGGAUGCCACCAGCAAGCAUGUUCACAGACGUAAUCAGCUAGCUUAUGGCAGCCACACAGGGACUAGUUAUCCUCCUGUAACCUGAAGGAAAGGACAGCUCCUAGGGGCCUCCUGAAUGUUGCUUUUCUUUAGAGCCAUGGCCUUCCCCUGGGAGGCAGAUAUUUUACACCGUCCACAUGUACUUAAUAGACCGGCAAUGAAGAAGAGACCUAAAAAUAGCCCUGAGCCUUGUGCUAGGGAGGCAGCGGGAAACUUAAAGGGCAAUGGCCAAGUACCCUGGGGGAGAAGACAUGGCUAUCGUGCCAGAAAGGACUGGAAAGCAAGAGGAGAGAGCACACAAGCGGAGUUGGGAGCUAAGGCAGAUCUGCAUGACAUGUAUUGUGGGAGAAAAGCUUCAUGGAAAAAUGUAAGCUGGAUGUUAGGGAUGAACAACCCUUGGGGAACGGAGGGUGUUUGAGUACAAUAAUAAUAAUGAUGAAC
rnacentral:lncRNA from 1 species